rnacentral:rRNA from 1 species
GUGCAGCAGUCGCGCAACCUCUGCAAUACGCGAAAGCGUGACAGGGCUACCCCGAGUGCCGUCCGCUGAGGAUGGCUUUUCUCCGGUGUAGUAAGCCGGAGGAAUAAGGAGAGGGCAAGUCUGGUGUCAGCCGCCGCGGUAAUACCAGCUCUCCGAGUGGUAGGGACGAUUAUUGGGCCUAAAGCGUCCGUAGCCGGCCAAGCAAGUUUCCCGUUAAAUCCAACGAUCCAAUCGUUGGACUGCGGGAAAUACUGUCUGGAUAGGUGGCGAGAGAGGCCAACGGUAUUCCCGGGGUAGGGGUGAAAUCCCAUAAUCCCGGGAGGACCACCAGUGGCGAAGGCUGUUGGCUAGAACGCGCUCGACGGUGAGGGAUGAAAGCUGGGGGAGCGAACCGGAUUAGAUACCCGUGUAGUCC